GCUGUUACUGCCUUUGUUGCUCUUUUGCUUCCAGAGACUUUUAAGCAACCGCUGCCUGAAACCCUUCAACAAAUGCAUGAAAGACAAAGGACAAAAUGUCCCUGCAUCCAAAAAACUGAAGCCUCAGAACCAGUUGUGUUACCAGACAGUCCUCUGUGACUGAGUGUUGCUGGUUCAGCCUUAAAUUCAGUUUUUUUUAACACUUCCAGUAGUAAUUUUUUUCUGAAUUACAUUUGACGUCCCACC